AUCCUUUCCCAGUUCAUAAACAUGAUAACUGGGUAUUCAAAUGCUUGUGUGACAUAUGCCUCCCUUAAAACUUGUUAUGCACUUGACACAUUACCCUUCUGAUG